rnacentral:rRNA from 1 species
UACGUAGGGGGCAAGCGUUGUCCGGAAUCAUUGGGCGUAAAGAGCGUGUAGGCGGCUUGGUAAGUCCGCUGUGAAAGUCCAGGGCUCAACCCUGGAAUGCCGGUGGAAACUGUCAAGCUUGAGUCCGGAAGAGGCGAGUGGAAUUCCCGGUGUAGCAGUGAAAUGCGUAGAGAUCGGGAGGAACACCAGUGGCGAAGGCGGCCUUCUGGACCAAUACUGACGCUCAUGCACGAAAGCGUGGGGAGCAAACAGG